CUGCCCCCAUCUUUGAACAGCUGUUCUGGAAGUAGAAGUUUUGCUUUAUGUAGGCAUUGCACAAUGAUAACUAAACACAUGAACGUUUGCGGAAUUAACACUUAGCGCAUCAAUUGAAUGAUUAUUGCAUUUAUUAUUGUAUUCAUUAAGUUUAUAUCUUGCCCCUUCUCCCGAAGGAGUCCAGGGCAGCAAGCAUAUAAUAAAGCAAUAAAAACACCUUCAAAACAUCAGUUCGGAUACUGAUGCCAUUUCUCAUUCAAGUGAGUGUCAAAGCGAAUUACAAACAAUAAGUUACAUGAUGGGAGCUGCAGUCGAAAACAUUAGGAGGGCACCAUGUUGGGGAAGGCUGAUAUAUAUUAUGAAAGGCUUUCCCCACGUUGGCAAACCUGUAAUGUGCAUAGAGAGAACCACACCAGACCUGAUUUUAAGUUUUGUUUUAUAAAUUACAACAUAAUACGACCACCGGGCUGUGGUUUUUUUCCACUAAGUUGUAAAAAUAGUUUGUUAGUGGAAAUGGCAACAUGCCUAUAGGAUGAAACAAAACCUAAAGACUCAGCUUUCCUGAACAUUAUUUAAAGUGACAUUCAUCAGCUAUCCACUUUGUGAAUGGAAUGUUUGUAAACGAUUAAGCUGACAUUGAGACUGACGCUUGAGUGUGGGGUGGUGGUGACAGCUUGCUAAAUUUGGAUCUGAUUUGUUCUUACCCUGGCCCAUAUAGAAUUUAAUGUAAAUUGUGUGAACCUCCUUGGUGGUGAUCUGCUGGUAUUUGUGCACAAUUUCCAUAAUCGCCAGUUCUCCAAAACAUAAUUUUAAAAAAGAAUUGUGAGUCUCUGGAUUCAAAGGAAACACAGCUUCAUUCAUGACAGCAGGUACUUUCCAAAUAAACACAUUAUUUUGGAAAUAAUCACUAUCACGGCAUAAAUG